CGGAAGUGCAAGCGUUGCCGAUGUGGUACCCACCGUCUGGUUUGGUUCGCUCGCCCUUGUUUCCCUGCCUUGGUAUUUGCGUCGCACCAUGGCGCCUAAGGGCAAAGUGGGCACCAGAGGGAAGAAGCAGAUAUUUGAAGAGAACAGAGAGACCCUAAAGUUCUAUCUGAGGAUCAUACUGGGGGCCAACGCCAUUUACUGCCUUGUGACCUUGGUUGUCUUCUACGCAUCUGCCUCAUUUUGGGCCUGGAUGGCCCUUGGCUUUAGUUUGGCAGUAUAUGGGGCCAGCUACCACUCUAUGAGCUCGAUGGCUCGGGCAGCCUUCUCUGAAGAUGGGGCCUUGAUGGAUGGUGGCAUGGACCUCAACAUGGAACAGGGCAUGGCAGAGUGAGUGUCCCCCACCGCCAGCCCAGGCACCUUAAGGAUGUGAUCCUGCUGACAGCUAUUGUGCAGGUUCUGAGCUGCUUCUCCCUCUAUAUCUGGUCCUUUUGGCUUCUGGCUCCAGGCCGGGCCCUUUAUCUCUUAUGGGUGAAUGUGCUGGGACCCUGGUUCACAGCAGACAGUGGCACCCCAGCACCGGAGCACAACGAGAAACGGCAGCGCCGACAGGAGCGGCGGCAGAUGAAGCGGCUAUAGCCAUUGAAAUUGUGGCCAUAGGCUCCUGGGCACUGGGUUGCAUGGCCUCAGUGCCUGGAGCAAUGAGAGCCUAGUCCAGGCCAAAAGCAGCCUGAGGUAUAGAAUUGUUGAAUAAAUGUCUUAGAAUGUGGCUAA